rnacentral:rRNA from 1 species
CGGCCGCAAGGUUAAAACUCAAAUGAAUUGACGGGGGCCCGCACAAGCGGUGGAGCAUGUGGUUUAAUUCGAUGCAACGCGAAGAACCUUACCUACCCUUGACAUCGAGAGAACUUGGCAGAGAUGCCUUGGUGCCUUCGGGAACUCUCAGACAGGUGCUGCAUGGCUGUCGUCAGCUCGUGUUGUGAAAUGUUGGGUUAAGUCCCGUAACGAGCGCAACCCUUGUCCUUAUUUGCCAGCGCGUAAUGGCGGGAACUCUAAGGAGACUGCCGGUGACAAACCGGAGGAAGGUGGGGACGACGUCAAGUCAUCAUGGCCCUUACGGGUAGGGCUACACACGUGCUACAAUGGACGGUACAAAGGGUUGCAAAGCCGCGAGGUGGAGCUAAUCCCAUAAAGCUGUUCUCAGUCCGGAUCGGAGUCUGCAACUCGACUCCGUGAAGUCGGAAUCGCUAGUAAUCGUGAAUCAGAAUGUCACGGUGAAUACGUUCCCGGGCCUUGUACACACCGCCCGUCACACCAUGGGAGUGGACUGCACCAGAAGUGGUUAGCCUAACUUCGGAGGGCGAUCACCACGGUGUGGUUCAUGACUGGGGUGAA